rnacentral:lncRNA from 1 species
GAAGGUUUUAACUUAUUGUUGUGUUUGUGAUGCUUCCUAUUAUUGUUUGAUUUCCUCACUUAUUUACUUAGACAAAUGACUGAUUAAAUUGCUUACUUAACUCUUAUUCGCACAUCCUUUAUUUGCAAGUAUAUUCAAAUUAUUUAACAAAAUUUCACUUGAUAAAUCUGCAUCAAGAUUUAUUGUAUUGAAUUGCAUGCUUGAACAAACUUAGACUAAUCUUUUAUUGAGCCCAUUUAUCCGCCUGCUUAAUAGUUUUAAUCUUGAUUAGAUUAAAAUUAAUCUGUUGUUAAGUUUAAAUUCGACUGUGCUUCCAUAUAACUUAGCUUAAUUAAUUAAAAAGUUUAGAAGUAAUUAA